GAUGAACGCUGGCGGCGUGCUUAACACAUGCAAGUCGAACGGUGAACGAGGGAGCUUGCUCCCUCCGGAUCAGUGGCGAACGGGUGAGUAACACGUGAGCAAUCUGCCCUGGACUCUGGGAUAAGCGUUGGAAACGACGUCUAAUACCGGAUACGAGGCGUGGGGGCAUCCCCAACGCCUGGAAAGAACUUCGGUCCAGGAUGGGCUCGCGGGCUAUCAGCUAGUUGGUGAGGUAACGGCUCACCAAGGCGACGACGGGUAGCCGGCCUGAGCGGGUGACCGACCGCACUGGGGCUGAGACACGGGCCAGACGCCUACGGGGGGCAGAAGUGGGGGAUAUUGCACAAUGGGCGCAAGCCUGUUGCAGCAACGCCGCGUGAGGGACGACGGCCUUCGGGUUGUAAACCUCUUUUAGCAGGGAAGAAGCGAAAGUGACGGUACCUGCAGAAAAAGCACCGGCUAACUACGUGCCAGCCGCCGCAGUAACAC
rnacentral:rRNA from 1 species